rnacentral:rRNA from 1 species
GUGGGGAAUUUUGCGCAAUGGGGGAAACCCUGACGCAGCAACGCCGCGUGGGUGAUGAAGGCUUUCGGGUCGUAAAGCCCUGUCGGAUGGAAAGAAUUGGCCGGUGCUAAUACCACCGGUCUUGACGGUACCAUCAAAGGAAGUCACGGCUAACUCUGUGCCAGCAGCCGCGGUAAUACAGAGGUGACAAGCGUUGUUCGGAUUUAUUGGGCGUAAAGCGCGUGUAGGCUGUUUAUUAAGUCAGAUGUGAAAGCCCAGGGCUUAACCCUGGAAGUGCAUUUGAAACUGGUAAACUUGAGUACGGGAGAGGGUAGUGGAAUUCCGAGUGUAGAGGUGAAAUUCGUAGAUAUUCGGAGGAACACCGGUGGCGAAGGCGGCUACCUGGACCGAUACUGACGCUGAGACGCGAAAGCGUGGGGAGCAAACAGGAUUAGAUACCCGAGUAGUCC